rnacentral:lncRNA from 1 species
UGAAACAUACCGCAAGUAAUAGAGAUUAAUUAACACAAAAUGAAUUAGUAAUAUUCGAGGUCAGCACCUUCAUCUCAUGUUCUAAUCCAUACGCCACCAGACAACUAAAAUUCGGGAGAAGAAAAUGUCUUACAAGGAUCUCACAUUUCCUAAGAGCAGUGCCGACAGACACGUCCUGCGGUUGCUUGCGCCAGCAACUGCAACCACGGCAUGACAAACUGCUAAGUAGUGAUAUCGACAUUGAAACCCAAGGAUUCGGGUAGAGUUUCAAGUAAGCUCAAACCAAAUAAUGCAAUGUUUGAUUUGGUCCACAAAAUACAAUUCCAGAUGCAAAUUAUUUCAUAGCAAAUCAGAUUGUCUCCAAAAGCACAGAGCACGAAAAUCAAGAAAGGAAAAUUGAAUGAUUUCACUAUUAAAGAUAUACAAUGAAGAGAAUCUACUCAUCUGUUGAACAACGAUGAAUUAAAUUAGGUGAAUACCUCCAAUCGGGAUUCCGUUGUCAGCACCAAAAAAAAUCGACUUCGCCCUUCAAACUAGCUCACAUCCUCAAACUUAAUAUUGUCAAGCGUUGAUUCGUAUACCGCGACUUCUCCCAAGUAAAGACACAUUUAGAAACAUAACAUUUCAAUUCUGUGAUAGAAACACAGUGCCAUAUACAAGAGCCAAAAACUGCCUAUCCUCU